UAUUUACAAAUCCAUUACAUCAAGUUGAUCAUCAUCAUCAGUUCAUUCUUCAUUCCCAGACUCAAUACUCUCAAGUUCAUCACCACCACCACCUCCUUCUCCUCUUCUGACCACCGCCACCAUCAACUCCACCACCACCUCCUUCUCUUCUUCUGACCACCGCCACCAUUAACUCCACCACCACCUUCUUCUCCUCUUCUGACCACCGCCACCAUCAACUCAGCCACCACCUCCUUCCCCUUUCUCACCAUCCCCACCAUCAACUCAGCCACCACCUCCUUCCUAUUCCAAACCCUAACCCUAGCCGCCUACAAUGGCGAAUUUGUACCUGUUCCUGUUCCAAACCCUAACCCUAGCCGCCUACAAUGGCGAAUUUGUAAUUUGUAAAGAGAGACAAUAACGGGGUUUUUAGAGAGAGAAACAGAGUGAGAUGGUUCCUAUUACAAACCUGGGUUAUUAGAUGACGUAGAAGUUGGAGUGGAGUUCUGAAGUGUUUCCUGUUUCAGUGAAUUGAUACAAACAGAUGAUUUGCCUCGUGAAUGGAACUUUGAAGGCAAAAGGUUUGUUGGAAGUGAAGAUGAAGGAAAAAUAGGAGUGGGUUGAAAGAAUUGGGAGUGAAAAAUGGGGAUUUGGAGUAUGCACAGUAAUUGUGUUUCAUUUCAUGCGUCUCAAAAAACCUGCAUGUUUUGCACAAGUUUUAUACCUUUAAGCUGUUCAUAUUGGCAAAUUGUUUAGUUUAGUGUUAGAUUGGCUUGUUGCUGCUACUAAUUCAAGUAUUCAACCAUUGUGUUUCAAUGCUUGUAGGUUCUUUAUAGAUUCUGUAACAAUUUUAUAAACAAAGCUUGUUAUCGGUUCAAAUCCUUUAUAGAUUCUGUAACAAUUUUAUAAACAGAGCUUGUUAUC
rnacentral:lncRNA from 1 species